ACUUAAUCUGGGUUCGCGUGAGGGAUAGCAGCGACAUCCUUUUGGGGCGGGGUUCGCCCCAAAAGAUAUAGCGGAUAGCCCGACCCGUA
rfam:Flavobacterium sp. CF136 PMI10_contig106.106, whole genome shotgun sequence.